UGGUAGGGCUCAGUGGUAGAGUGCUUGCCUUGCAAGCAUGAGGCCCUGGGUUUGAUUCCUCAGCACCA
rnacentral:tRNA from 1 species